CUCGAAUGGGUCCCCGGAUCCCUUCUCCAGAAUGCUACUGCUCCAGAAUUCUUUAUUUCCACCUCUAUGUUUUGUUUUGUUUUGUUUUGUUUUUUCCUUUGGGCCAAGUCGCUGUCCGUCACGGGAGCUCUCGGCGGAGAUUGGUCCCCUGCAAUCUCCAAAUGUGUUGGGUUUAAUCGAAGUAAAGGCAGCCAAGUGUCUCUUAUGACCCUGGGCUCUUGACUACUUGGGGAAGGAAGGAAAAGUGAUACUAAGUGUUCCUCUGGGUCAAAUUGGAGGAGGAGACAAACGAAUCAGAAAAUAGAGACUUUGGGGGCAGAGCCAAGAUGGAGGAUUGAACCAGAGAUACACUGUGUCACCAUGAGAGUCCUCUCUGACCAAGAUUAAAAUAUCACCACAAAAUGAAUGCAGGAGUGAAAGAACCAACAAGGAGAUAGAGUGAAACAACUUUCAUGAAAAGAAAACCCCAAAAAAAUCAGAAAAUAGAGACUUUGGGGGCAGAGCCAAGAUGGAGGAUUGAACCAGAGAUACACUGUGUCACCAUGAGAGUCCUCUCUGACCAAGAUUAAAAUAUCACCACAAAAUGAAUGCAGGAGUGAAAGAACCAACAAGGAGAUAGAGUGAAACAACUUUCAUGAAAAGAAAACCCCAAAAAGUAGGUAGAGAUCAUCUGGGGAAAUGGGGUGAGCAGAAAGCAGAGCCAGCAAAAGGCUAUAGAAAGAAGGGAGGAGCAAGCCAAGGGCAAAUUCUCCUCCUCUACCAUUUACUAUCAAGGUUUAAAACCUAAGCCCAAGCUAACAUCCAUAUACUGAGACUGCCUGGGGAAAUAGUGAUACAAGCCAACCCACACCCCUUGAAAUUUCAAACCUUUGGAGAAGUCCAGAGUCCCAGUCCAGGGCAGUCUGGGCUGAGGAGGGCUGAUUUGUGUGGGCCAAGAGUGAAGCCAGUAUUUCUAGUUUGGGCUUGGGAUAAGGACAGAGUAUAUAAUUUGGGGUGGCUGAUAGUACCAAGUACUAAAUACUGAUCUUUCUGCCUAAAGCUCAGGGAGGAACUCCAAGACAGGGAAAUUAAGGGUGUGCCUAAUUGGAUCAAGUACACAGUAAGACCAAAAACUUGAGCAUAAGCAUAGGGCUAGAAUUUGAUCAGCCCCUGAACUGAUCAAGAUUAGAGUGAAAUCAAACCUUAUAUCCAAGUCUGAGGCAAAUCUCAAAGCCAUCUGCAUCUUAAGGGACAACUGAAUAGGAGGGGGGCUCCCAGAGUUCUCAGCCCUCGGACCCAGAAAAUAAGCUGAGUAUAAUAUUAAGCAGGGACUGAAGUUUAAGAGGGUACCCACAUUUCCCAGAAAACAGAGCCUACCUAUAAUUAGAUAAGAAAAAUGAGCAAACAACCAAAAAAGCACCUGACUCUUACGAAUUUUUAUGGAGACAAAGAACAAGGUACAGACACAGAAGGGAACAAUGAAAGCAAAGGAAACAUGCCCAAAUUCCAAAAGAAAAAUAUAGAUUUGACACAAAUUCUCGAAGAGCUCAAAAAAAGACUUCAAAAACCAAUUAAGAGGAGAGAAAAGUGGGGAAGAGAUAUGAAAGUGAUGCAGGAAGACAGGAAAGUGAUGUAAGAAGAAAUGGACCAAUUGAAAAAGGAGAACCAAAAACUAACAGAGGAAAAACCAGGCCUUAAAAAUCAUAUUUGACCCUCUAGAAAUGAAUGAUUUCAUGAGAAAUCAAGAAACAAUAAAGCAGAAUGAAAGGAAUGAAAAACAGAGGAAAACAUAGAAUAUCUUAUUGAUAAAACAACUGACCUAGUGUUAAAAGAGUUUUCUUAAUUUCUCCCCCUGUCUCUUUAAAAAGAAUAUUUUGAAGUGGGCUUUUGCCUCUGGAGUUUCAGAGAGUGCAGGAGCUCCAUCUGUCUUUGUCUCAGUGAGACUGGCAUUUGGAGUUUCUAACUGACAAUUGAGGUAAAGAAAAUGGAUUUAAGGAGUUUGGAGUUUGAUUAAUGUUUAUUGAUUAUCUUAGGUAGGUAGAUUGUGAAUAUAAUCUUAGCAGACAGUAUAGUUAAGAUAGGCCAGGCCUGGCCCAGACAGAAACACCUGCCCUCAAAGGCAGUUAGAUUAGGGUUUUCUUAGAAAUUUUAGUUAGUAUUGGGAUUUUAGGCCUAGUUAUAAGAUAUUAGAGUAAUGUUUUCUCUUUCCUUCUUCCUAUUUCCUAUCCGAACUUCUCCUCAAAAAUAAAAUAAGUGUUUUGUGUUUUACCAAAGUGCUCUCCUCACAUUUUGUCAAACUCCUAUACAAGAUUUAACCCUUCAUACUAGAAAAAUAGAUCUAGGAGAGACGAUUUGAGAAUUAUUGGACUACCUGAAAGCCGUGAUCAAGAAAAAACCUUGAUCAUCAUAUUAUAAGUGUAAAAUUAGAACUUGAACCCCAGGACUCUAAAUCCCAACUUCCCAUGUUCCUUCUCACACUAAAUCCUUACAUUUUGGAGAUAAAGUUUUUAUGUAACCCUGCCCCUCUU